AUGGAGAUGACCAUUCCCCUAAACCGGCAUAGUUGGGUGAGGACUCCAGAAAGGCCUCUCAGGAAGGCAACAGUGCAUGGCGACUCUUUACCCCUUCGCCCGCCUCCUGAUCUACGUACUCGCCUAUUCCUGCGUUUACUCGUGUUUGUACAUGUUGGUUUACUUUCUUCGCAUUUUUGUAGAGGAUUAGGCAGCCAAGCUGGACCAAAGUCACCAGGGUGGUGAAGGCCCGGCCCACCGCCGAAGGGCUUCUUCAAGUUCGGCCUUUACGAGGUCUUCAAGAUCCGCUCCGCGGAGCUCCUGGGCCCAGAGAAAGCCUACGGGUGGAGAGCCGGCCUGUACCUUUUCGCCUGGGCCAGCGCCGAGUUCUUCCCCGAUGUCUCGCUGGAGCCCAUGGAGGCGGUCAAGGUCCGCGUGCAGACGCGACCGGGCUACGCCAGCACCCUGCGAGCCACGGCGUCCAGGAUGUAGGGCGAGGAGGGCCUGUGGGCCUUCUACAAGGGCGUGGCGCCGCUGUGGCUGAGGCAGAUCCCCUACACCAUGAUGAAGUUCGCCUGCUUCGAGCGCACGGUAGAGGACCUCUACAGGUAUGCCGUGCCCAAGCCCCAGAGCCAGUGCACCAAGGCCAAGCAGCUGGGCAUCACCUUCGUGGCGUCUUCUGCGCUGUCGUGUCCCAUCCCGCCGACUCCGUGGUGUCUGUGCUGAACAAGGAGAAGGGCAUCGCGGCCCUGGGCGUCCUCCGAAGACUGGGGUUCACGGGCGUGUGGAAGGGCGUCGUUGCGCGCAUCGGCCUCUUUGCGCACAUCCCCAUGAUCGGCACCCUCACGGCCCUGCAGUGGUUUAUCUAUGACCUGGUCAAGGUCUAUUUCAAGCUGCCUCGCCCUCCCGUGGCUCAAGCGCCCGAACCCCUGAAGAAGAAAAAGUA